UCUUCAAACUUUAACACAGUUUCUUCAUUUCCAACCUAUCACAUGAAGCUUCAGAGUCAGUAACACUCACAGCUCAACUAACGAGUCGCUGCCUUGUUUUGCCUUUUCUACCUUCAGUUACAUGGUGCUGUCAAGAAGGAUCGGUCAUGAGCCAUUGUACGCCCAAGCCAAAGUGUCCAGGUUGCCAUCAGGAAGUUGCCACGAGCUCGAAGGCACAGUGUGUUCCCUGCAAAUUGUGUUCCAAAGUCAAACGUCGUGUGUUUCGCUUCUGCUGGGAUUGUCAGCGAGAGUGGCCACAGAGCGCUUCAUCUAGCAGCAGCUGCACACUGCAGAACUGCGCUCUCCGGGCUGCUCUGCUCUCAGACACACGAAUCAGUGAUCGCAACAGUUCGGCAUUUGGAUGUCCCUAUUUCAGGGCCUGUCCUAGAUGCAACGCUCUGCUCACACACAAUGGACAAGGCUGUCCCAACAUUAAAUGCCCCAAGUGCAACACAUAUUUCUGCUUCCGUUGUCUUCAGCUAAGAUGCUUUGGUAGAGCUUUGAUUUUUUCUAAUAUGAUAUGGAAUAUGGACAGACUGACUGAAGCUGCACAAAGUUGUACUAUAGUGGAUAAUAACCAGAGUCUGUUAAGAAUUCCGCAGUAAAAUCAGUCUGUAAGAGAUCAAAUAGAAAUAAGUCUCCUGUAGUAAAGUUAAAUAACACAAUAUAAGUUACAUUGUGCUUCUUAGUAUAAAAAAAUAUUUUACUCUUUUUAAUAAAAAUACAUUGAAUUAAUGGUGAUGGUAAAUGAUUUGCAAUCAAUUUUGUUUAAUCAUAGUUUGUAAUCACGAUUUUUGUGUACAAAGCUAAUUGUUCUAUAUAAAUUUGUAAAAUGUUGAUGUACUAAAUUGUUGAUUUAUUGUGAUUUUUAAUUUUUUUUAUUAAUGAUCAUGUUUACAUGUUUGAAUCAUAAAUACACCUUUUUCUAGGAUGCAGAAGAAUGAUUGAUGGAAUAAUCAAAAAAGUAUAAGAGAAAUACUGGGGUCAAUGGUCCUCUGGUCCAGCAGCAAUUUAGUCAUGAUUAGUAUAAUUAUCACCUACAUGACAUUAAAACAACCUGCUGAAUAUUGUGUAGGUCAAAUUUUUCUACUUAAACAACUCCAAACGCUCAAGGUCUGGACUCCACAAGGCCUCUGAAGGUGUGCUCUGGUAUCUGGCACCAAGAUAUUAGCAGCAGACUAUUUAAAUACUGUAAGUUGGGGACUUCAUUGAACGGAUCUGUUUGUAUUACAUAUCCUACCGACGAUUGAUCAGAGUGAGAUUUGGGGAACCCGGAGGUCAAAAAUGCAAUACUUUUUUAUUGUUUUUCAAUCCAUUCCUGAAGUGUAUUUGUGCUGUAAUAAUGGCUAAGAAGGUGAUAAAUGUCAAAGUAUCAUUGCCCAAAGCAACAAUGCUUCCACUGGCUUGCUUUUUUCUAAAAGGGCAUCCUGGUGGCAUCUCUGCAGCUUUGGUACAUUCAUGGAACACCCCAUAAGAUCUGACAUUUUGGAGAUACAUUAACACAGUCAUCUGUUCAUUAAGGAUUGACCUGUCAAAGUCACUCAGAUCCCUCAAACAUGCCUAUUAUUCCUGCUUCCAACACAUCAGCUUUGAGAAUUAACUGUUCAAUUGCUGCCUGACAUAUCUAUAAUCUUGAACUCUUGACAGGUGAGAUUGUAAUAUGACAAACAACUUAUAUCUGUCAACCCUUGUGCAUUUAUUAGAGCCCAAAGUCAUGUGGUAAAAUCAGGAAAAAAGGUUCUGCAGUGACAUUAAUUCAUAAAGUAUGUGACUUAUGGGAUUUUGUACAACAACUGUGUAACUAAAAGAACUUGACUAAAUAUUUUUGUUUCGGU